CUUGACACUGAACAUUGAGCCUUGAUGUGUAGGAUAGGUGGGAGGCUUUGAAGUGUGGACGCCAGUCUGCAUGGAGCCGGCCUUGAAAUACCACCCUUUAAUGUUUGAUGUUCUAACGUUGACCCGUGAUCCGGGUUGCGGACAGUGUCUGGUGGGUAGUUUGACUGGGGCGGUCUCCUCCUAAAGAGUAACGGAGGAGCACGAAGGUUGGCUAAUCCUGGUCGGACAUCAGGAGGUUAGUGCAAUGGCAUAAGC
rnacentral:rRNA from 1 species